UGAUUUGGCGGGACAUGUAGUAGCUGUUGAAUGUACAUCAUUUUCCACGAAAAAAUCAGAUAAAAUUGGACUUGGAUGGAGCUGAACAAGACUUUGAGCGAAUAAAAAGAUGUAGCAGCCAUUUGCUCACUCAUAAUCCCAGCAUUGCAGAUGUUGGCGAUACCACGUACGUGUUUCCUCCCAUAUGGGGUUAAUCUUCCACAGUGUGCCUCAAAUAUCUUGACCUAUUCUCAGAAAAAGAGUAGUCAUAUUCUCAUCAAAAGAAAAAAAAACCACGAAAAUUGAACUCAAGUGCCACAAAGAAUCUUUGCUUUUAUCGCCAAGUUAAAUACUUACAUAGGAUUUAAGGCAAUCCCAGUUGUCAACAAGUGGUUGUCCAGCAGGUCGAACACUAUGUAGUGCCUCAUUACCUUUUUCAACACCAAAAAGAAGCUCCCCUAGACGUUUUA